rnacentral:lncRNA from 1 species
ACCUUCUUUAAAAUCACCUUUGAAUUUGCCCAGAUCUUAAACAGUCUAAAAGAACUGGUGACACAAGGUGUUUUUCUUAAAUCAACAUUACAGUAAACGGCAAACAAGCAAGAGAAAGGAAACGGACUUGGAUGGCUUUGAUGAUUGUCCUGGAACAGGCUCCACUUGGCUGCCUUGUCACAGCGGGGACAACGGUGGAACCCAGAUCACAGUGCCGAGAGCUGGGCCCUGGAAGCAGUCCUUCACAAGCUCCUCCUGCUCUAAUCCACGAACUUAAUAAGCAUCUGUCUCCCCAGUGGUGCCUCCCUGUCUAACAGAACUACUUGUAUCCUGUAAAUGUGCAGUCUGUUUGGCUUCUAGAAAACAAAGCAGUUAGGCUUGCCUGAUCUCAUCAGUUUAAUGUUAGAAUGCCUGGACUGCUCAAUAACUCGUGUACCUUGAAGGGACACAAAGGGGGUGGGGUGGGGCAUGGCACAGCAAAAGCUGUUAUUAGAGACAUGUGUCCCAGACUGCUAUCAGAAACUCUGAGUGCUUCCUGAUGAAUUCAAAGAUAUAAUAUUAUGUUUAAAACCAAUGUGGCUAAUGAGAUACUGUGCACUGAAAUUUAGAACAGUCAUCUAUAGAUGGCAUGACUGGAAUUUUAGGAGCUUGUCCAAUGUCCAAUUUCCAAGUCCAGAGAAGCAUGGCUCUGCUGGAUAACUCCCCAAAGGGAAUAACAGCUAAUGUCCCUUGCAUUACCUAUACAUUACCUGAAAGUUUCUUAAGGCAUUUAAUUUGUCUAUGAACUUGGACAAAGAAACCCAUCAAGGAGCAUUUUAUCCCAGAGUAUACUGUUUUCAUGAGCUGUGUGUUUAUUGGCUUGGUACCAGUUAAAUCGUAGCACAAGCAUCUAACAUUUCAGGAAAGUGGGAUGCUCUAGCAGUACUAUAAAUACCCACUCACUAUAGGAAAGAAAGCCCUCACAGGCAUAUCAUCUUUCUCCUGUUCUAUUUGGACAUUACAUGUUAAGACCCUUGUACAUUUUGCACUUAAUGCAGGGAAAUGUGAAGUCCUUCUGUACUGGCUGGUUUUGUGUGUCAACAUGACAUAGGUUGCAGUUAUCACAGAGAAAGGAGCCUCAGUUGGAGAAGUGCCUCCAUGAGAUCCAGCUGUGGGGCAUUUUCUCACUUGGUGAUCAAGGGGAGAGGGCCCAUUAUGUGUGGUGCUAUCCCUGGGCUAGUAGUCUUGGGUUCUAUAAGAGAGAAAGCUGAGCAAGCCAGGGUAGCAAGCCAGUAAACAACAUCUCUCCAUGGCCUCUGCAUCAGCUCCUGCUUCCUGACCUGCUUGAGUUCCAGUCCUGACUUCCUUUGCUGAUCAACAGUAACAUAGACAUGUAAGCUGAAUAAACCCUUUCCUCCCCAACUUGAUUCUUGAACAUGAUGUUUGUGCAGGGAUAGAAGCCCUGACUAAGACACCCUCUAACAGUAACCAAGCACUUGUUCUGGUACAAUUGCUUCUAAUCAUGAAAAUUAUCAAAUUCAGUCCACAUGACCAACCCAUGAGCUGAGUACUAGAGUAGCUAUCUAGAGGAAGCAUGCUCACUGAGAGAAGACACUUGGGCACCAAGACUAGCUGCUGAGUAUUAU